CAGGGAGACAAAAACCGAGCAUGAUGUCUGAGUAUUUAUUCUUAGGCCAUGUUCCUGUCACCUUAGGUCGAUCGGUACCUCAGAUUAAAAAGAAAUUCCAAAAGGAUUAAACCCUUUUGGCUUUUGAUUUCAGUUCCUAAACUUGUCUAGGUCACACCCCACAAGGGUUACUCCUGGGCCAUUAGCUCAGGUGGUUAGAGCGCACCCCUGAUAAGGGUGAGGUCCCUGGUUCAAGUCCAGGAUGGCCCAUUCGGUUUUGGGGGUAUAGCUCAGUUGGUAGAGCGCCUGCUUUGCAAGCAGGAUGUCAGCGGUUCGAGUCCGCUUACCUCCACUGACCAAAUCACUUGAGGCCCCCAAUUGUGAGGACCAGUGUGAUGAUGUGAUUUAGAUAUUUUGCUGAAUUAGAACCUAGCUUCUUAUCAUUCCAAAUCUAAAUAAAUUCUUUUAGGUAAGGUUGGCAAGACGCUGGGCUCAUUGGAAUUUUAUUAGAUUCCAGCGAUGUUCAGUAGAACCUUGACAACUGCAUAGAUAAGUCUGGAAAAAAUAAAAGCAUCUCAUGGAUGACCUUUUCCUCUUUGCUUAGAGUUUACUGAUAACUCAGAAGGCACUAAGUGAAUGAUAAAAGGUCUAAUUCUUGAGCAAGAGCUAAGACUCUAUAGCGUUCUUUUAUUACCCUAAAGUAAUAAAAGUUUGACUAGUAUUUAAAUGCUAGGAAUGUGUUAAACGCUAAGCGUUAUAGAGAUAUAUAU
rnacentral:tRNA from 1 species